GGUGCCUGGUUUGCUGUGGUUGAAUGGCCUGGUCUGGCGGCGUCUUGGCAUGUGAUGGAGGUGGCAUGGAGUCGUCGCGCCGAUGAUGGAGGGUGAUCGAUGAUGGAGAGGGGGUGCACGGAGGAGGGUUGGUGGUCACGGUGGUUCAACGGCCUAGUGCGGAGGCGGCCUGGCGAGGAUGGCUUGGAGACGACGGCCUAGCGACGGUGGCUUGGAGGUCGCUCUGAUCACGGGGGCUCACGUUACGGUGUCGUGCGAGAGCGGACUGCAGAUCCGUACGUGUUUUUUUGUUUCCUUUUGGAUCUGCGUCUUCGAUUGGUGCAAGCGCGUGAUUGUGGGUGAUUGAUUUUGUUUUCUUUUGGAGAGAGCGGAGUGCAGGUCCGUACAUGUUUUUUUGAGUUGUGUCUUGCAUGGCAGCACGUGAUUGUGCAUGAUAGAUUUUGUUUCUUUUUCGAGCCGCGUGUGGGAUCAGAAGGUGAGAUGACACCUAGGUUACACCAAACCAAAGUUGCACGAAAAAAUAUCUUCCUUUUGUUCUUUUGCGUCU
rnacentral:lncRNA from 1 species